rnacentral:rRNA from 1 species
UGAGGAAUUUUCCGCAAUGGGCGAAAGCCUGACGGAGCGACGCCGUGUGUGCGAUGAAGUCUUUCGGGAUGUAAAGCACUGUCAGAGGGGAAGAUAUUGACGGUACCCUCAGAGGAAGCCCCGGCUAACUACGUGCCAGCAGCCGCGGUAAUACGUAGGGGGCGAGCGUUGUCCGGAAUUAUUGGGCGUAAAGCGCGAGUAGGUGGUAGCUUAAGUCGGAUGUAAAAUUUAUGGGCUCAACCCAUAAAAGUCAUCCGAUACUGGGUUGCUAGAGAGAGUCAGAGGGAAGUGGAACUUCCGGUGUAGCGGUGAAAUGCGUAGAUAUCGGAAGGAACACCAGUGGCGAAGGCGACUUCCUGGGACUCUUCUGACGCUGAAUCGCGAAAGCUAGGGGAGCAAACGGG